rnacentral:rRNA from 1 species
UACGUAGGGUGCAAGCGUUAAUCGGAAUUACUGGGCGUAAAGCGUGCGCAGGCGGUUCGGAAAGAAAGAUGUGAAAUCCCAGGGCUUAACCUUUGAACUGCAUUUUUAACUACCGGGCUAGAGUGUGUCAGAGGGAGGUGGAAUUCCACGUGUAGCAGUGAAAUGCGUAGAUAUGUGGAGGAACACCGAUGGCGAAGGCAGCCUCCUGGGAUAACACUGACGCUCAUGCACGAAAGCGUGGGGAGCAAAUA